rnacentral:rRNA from 1 species
CAGCAGUCGCCGCGGGAAUACAGAGGGUGCGAGCGUUAAUCGGAUUUACUGGGCGUAAAGCGUGCGUAGGCGGCUUUUUAAGUCGGAUGUGAAAUCCCUGAGCUUAACUUAGGAAUUGCAUUCGAUACUGGGAAGCUAGAGUAUGGGAGAGGAUGGUAGAAUUCCAGGUGUAGCGGUGAAAUGCGUAGAGAUCUGGAGGAAUACCGAUGGCGAAGGCAGCCAUCUGGCCUAAUACUGACGCUGAGGUACGAAAGCAUGGGGAGCAAACAGGAUUAGAUACCCCAGUAGUCCCUGUCUCUUAUAC